rnacentral:lncRNA from 1 species
CUCUCAUCCAAUCAGAACAUGUAGUCCAGGAACCUAAUUUGCAUAACCUUUGUAAGCGAGAGUCUUGCCAUUCCAGGUUCUUCUACGUCUGCCCGCCCAUCUGUUCCGACCCCAGAUUAGAGAAGGAGUUGUCACCGGUGGCAUGCUGGAGGCUUGAGCCUGCAGCAGCAUGGCUCGCCUCACUGUGGCUGGUGGCAGUGAGGUAGAGUACAGCACAGCCAAAGUGGUAGAAAGGUGGCAGAGUAGGUGAGCUAUCCAGGGACUUGUGGCGGGGGGAGAGGGGCAGUGAGCUCAGGGGCCAAGGAUUGGAUGCACUAUCGUGAACUACACUGCCCAAGGCUUUUCUGGCUUUGCCCAUCCAGUUGCUCCGUGCCAGGAGAAGGAGUAGCCACCUGCACAUGCUGGAGGCUGGAGCCAGGGACACCACGGCUUGCCUCGCUGUGGUUGGCGUGGUGGCAGCGAUGGAGACUGCAGAGUGCCAGAGAGGACCUUGGUGCUUGUAGCAUCUACCUACCUCCUGUCGUUGUGAUGAGGACACUUUGAAAACGGGAUGGGAGCUACAUAUGCAAAAGAUGCCAUACAGAUGCUAUAUUAACCUGCAUUAUAGUCCCACAAAUUAAAAUGUAUUCCUUUGAUAAAAAUAAAAACAUUAAAACCCCAUAACAUCCUGAUUCCCUGUUCUCCAGAGAUUCUGGACAAAUACUAAAUAUAUCUAUGGUGAGCUUAGUUGGCACAAGAUAUGGGUCAGGAAGCAGGAGGCCAGGAUAGUUGAUAAUUGGAUCUAGCAACUUGAACAAUUUUUAAAAUAUAGGUAAGUUUAGAGAUUAUUUCAACUGCAGAGCCACUAGUAAACAUGAGGUGAGUAACUCUGCCUGUACAAAGCCCCGUUAGAAUAGACUGAGCUACUUAGGGUGAGCAAAUGAUAAAUUAUGCUACAAUAAUUUCAGGGGCACUAUUCAUUUCCCCAAAUUGAAGAUGGUAUUCUAGGCCGGGCGCAGUGGCUCACUCCUGUAAUCCCAGCACUUUGGGAGGCUGAGGCGGGUGGAUCAUGACUUCA